rnacentral:lncRNA from 1 species
UAAAUUUUAAAUUUGGAUCCUGUUAUCGGUACUGCUGAGGGGGUCACCAGUACUGUUCGGUACAGAUGAAUAUUUCUUUAGCAGUGUGUUACACGUGACAGCCAAAUAAAAUCUGAUGCAUAGAUGACGCACAUCAAAUUGUUUUGAAAAUAUGAACUGCUAAUUAAAUACAACCAUCACUAUAUACAUAUAUAUACAGAAUUGUACUCCGUAUUAAAUUUGCACGGCGCCAUGAAAACUAUCAAGUCGACCGAUCAAAGCUUUUGUUCGCAUACAUAACCACACACAUGAGCUUCCGAAUUUUUGUUUGGUCCAAUUACUUUGGAGGAAAACACAAUUUUUAUGUCGAAUAUGGACAAACACAUAAAUAUGAGGUUGGUGUAGAAACUAUGCUUCUUGAUAAAAAAAAAGGACAUUUGAUAGCAAAACAUGCGAUAUUCUUUUACAGAUAAAGAGGCUCAAACCUUAGCUAAAGGUUUGAACACCCUACAUAAUCUAUACUUUAUACUUUUAUAAAGAGGAACAGUGGUGAUGGUGAACCUGCCACCUGUCUCAUCACCAAUUUUCUCCUACUUUUUUUAAAAAAAAUAAUUGAGUCAUACAUAACAAAUCAUUUUUAUUAACUUUAUUUUAAUAAUAUGCUAAUGAUUUUUUAAUAAAAAUCUGUUAUAACGCAUGAUGUGCUAGAACAUGUCAUCAACAGAUUUAUUGGAGGCUACCAUCACUCCAGCAGCACAUAUGACAGUAGAACUUUGGUAGGGUACGUGUAUGCGUGUAUAGUGGUGUAUGCGCGGAUGCGUCUUCCGUGUAGCGUGUAUAGUGGUGUGCGCGUAUGCGUCUUUCGUGUAAUUCUAAAAACCAAAUGAACAGUAGCACUCAGGGAUACAUGAUUUCUCAAGCCAGGAGCACCUCGUCGAUGAGCUUGUCGAGGUUGCNNN